rnacentral:misc_RNA from 1 species
GUGAAUCAUCGAAUCUUUGAACGCAAAUUGCACUCUCUGGCAUCCUGGAGAGCAUGCCUGUUCGAGGGUCAGUUUAACAAAAAUCGGCGUGUCGCUUUCGUGAUGCACUGGAGGUUGGGUCUUCCAAGCCUUAGGUUAAGAGCCUUAAAAUUGCUAUCUUUUUUGCGCGCUCUUAGCCGUACAUAAUUUUUUUUAUUCGUCUAUUUCGGUGCCAAAAUUUAUUAGGUACGAUUAUCUUGUGUCUAUAAUUUCUCAUCUUUUGACCUCAAUUCAUG